UCCCCAGUAACUCAGUGGUAGAGCGUCCGACCGGUGUGCGGAAUGCCAUAUAGGUUCGACAUCCUGUUGGGAGAA